rnacentral:lncRNA from 1 species
UUCUGGACCUUGAACUUAAAUUUACAUAUUGCUCAUUUAAUCCUAUUUAAAUGCUUGUAUAGACAUUUAAUUCGUUGGUGUAAGAUGCAACAAAGAACACGUGGAAGGGGAUAGGCAAACAACCAAGUUUAAUUCCAUCUACCAUGCAGCAUGGAGUCAUAUUGGAUUACUAUAUUCACGCGCAUUCACUGAACACUAGUGUAACACCUCAC